CACGUAGGCACCAAGCGUUGUCCGGAUUUAUUGGGCGUAAGGAGCUCGUAGGCGGUUCGAUAAGUCGGGUGUGAAAACUUUGGGCUCAACCCAAAGCGUGCAUUCGAUACUGUUGUGACUAGAGUUCGGUAGGGGAGUGGGGAAUUCCUAGUGUAGCGGUGAAAUGCGCAGAUAUUAGGAGGAACACCGGUGGCGAAGGCGCCACUCUGGGCCGAAACUGACGCUGAGGAGCGAAAGCGUGGGUAGCAAACAGG
rnacentral:rRNA from 1 species